rnacentral:rRNA from 1 species
GUGGGGAAUAUUGCACAAUGGGCGCAAGCCUGAUGCAGCCAUGCCGCGUGUGUGAAGAAGGCCUUCGGGUUGUAAAGCACUUUCAGCGGGGAGGAAGGCAAUACGGUUAAUAACCGUGUUGAUUGACGUUACCCGCAGAAGAAGCACCGGCUAACUCCGUGCCAGCAGCCGCGGUAAUACGGAGGGUGCAAGCGUUAAUCGGAAUUACUGGGCGUAAAGCGCACGCAGGCGGUCUGUCAAGUCGGAUGUGAAAUCCCCGGGCUCAACCUGGGAACUGCAUUCGAAACUGGCAGGCUUGAGUCUUGUAGAGGGGGGUAGAAUUCCAGGUGUAGCGGUGAAAUGCGUAGAGAUCUGGAGGAAUACCGGUGGCGAAGGCGGCCCCCUGGACAAAGACUGACGCUCAGGUGCGAAAGCGUGGGGAGCAA